CCUACGGGAGGCAGCAGUGGGGAAUAUUGCACAAUGGGCGAAAGCCUGAUGCAGCAACGCCGCGUGAAGGAAGAAGGGUUUCGGCUCGUAAACUUCUAUCAACAGGGACGAAAGAAAUGACGGUACCUGAAUAAGAAGCCCCGGCUAACUACGUGCCAGCAGCCGCGGUAAUACGUAGGGGGCAAGCGUUAUCCGGAAUUACUGGGUGUAAAGGGUGAGUAGGCGGCAUGGUAAGCCAGAUGUGAAAGCCUUGGGCUUAACCCGAGGAUUGCUUUGGGAACUACGAGGUGAGAGUACAGGAGAGGAAAGCGGAAUUCCUGGGGGAGCGGUGAAAUGCGUAGAGAUUAGGAAGAACACCGGUGGAGAAGGCGGCUUUCUGGACUGAAACUGACGCUGAGGCACGAAAGCGUGGGGAGCGAACAGGAUUAGAUACCCGUGUAGUC
rnacentral:rRNA from 1 species